rnacentral:rRNA from 1 species
CCAAUAGCGUAUAUUAAAGUUGUUGCAGUUAAAAAGCUCGUAGUUGAACUUCGGGGUUUGCUCAUUGGUCAGGCUUAAUUGUCUGUACUGGUGGGAUAAAUCUCUACCUUCUGAGGAACUUUCAUGCCAUUUAUUUGGUGUGAUGGGAAAUCAGGACUGUUACUUUGAAAAAAUUAGAGUGUUUAAAGCAGACUAACGUCUGAAUACAUUAGCAUGGAAUAAUGAAAUAGGACGGACUGAUUCUAUUUCGUUGGUUUCUAGGAUCACCGUAAUGAUUAAUAGGGAUAGUUGGGGGCAUUAGUAUUCAAUUGUCAGAGGUGAAAUUCUUGGAUUUAUUGAAGACUAACUACUGCGAAAGCAUUUGCCAAGGAUGUUUUCAUUAAUCAAGAACGAAAGUUAGGGGAUCGAAGACGAUCAGAUACCGUCGUAGUCUUAACCAUAAACUAUGCCGACUAGGGAUCGGAUGAUGUUAAUUUUUUAAUGACUCAUUCGGCGCCUUACG